UGGCAUAUACAAUGAGACGCAAUACCGCGAGGUGGAGCAAAUCUAUAAAAUAUGUCCCAGUUCGGAUUGUUCUCUGCAACUCGAGAGCAUGAAGCCGGAAUCGCUAGUAAUCGUGAAUCAGCCAUGUUGCGGUGAAUACGUUCCCGGGUCUUGUACUCACCGCCCGUCACACCAUGGGAGUUGAUUUCACUCGAAGUGGAAAUACUAAACUAGUUAUCCCCCACAGUGGAAUCAGCGACUGG
rnacentral:rRNA from 1 species